rnacentral:ncRNA from 1 species
CGAAGUGGAGAAGGGUUCCAUGUGAACAGCAGUUGAACAUGGGUCAGUCGGUCCCCGAAUCUGGAGUGGCGGAGACAGGCGCCGUGAGGCGUCCUGUGCUGUAACGCGACCGAUCCCAGAAAAGCUGGCGGGAGCCCCGGGGAGAGUUCUCUUUUCUUUGUGAAGGGCAGGGCGCCCUGGAAUGGGUUUGCCCCGAGAGAGGGGCCCAAGCCCUGGAAAGCAUUGUGGUUCCGGCGGCGCCCUUGACAAUCCGGGGGAGAGGGUGUAAAUCUCGCGCUGGGCCGUACCCAUAUCUGCAGCAGGUCUCCAAAGUGAACAGCCUCUG